rnacentral:rRNA from 1 species
UACGGAAGGCAGCAGUGGGGAAGUAUUGCACAAUGGGCGGCAAGCCUGAUGCAGCCAUGCCGCGUGUAUGAAGAAGGCCUUCGGGUUGUAAAGUACUUUCAGUCGUGAGGAAGGUGUUAAGGUUAAUAACCUUAGCAAUUGACGUUAGCGACAGAAGAAGCACCGGCUAACUCCGUGCCAGCAGCCGCGGUAAUACGGAGGGUGCGAGCGUUAAUCGGAAUUACUGGGCGUAAAGGGCACGCAGGCGGUUAAUUAAGUUGGAUGUGAAAUCCCCGGGCUUAACCUGGGAAUGGCAUUCAAGACUGGUUAGCUAGAGUCUUGUAGAGGGGGUAGAAUUCCAUGUGUAGCGGUGAAAUGCGUAGAGAUGUGGAGGAAUACCGGUGGCGAAGGCGGCCCCUGGACAAAGACUGACGCUCAUGUGCGAAAGCGUGGGGAGCAAACAGGGAUUAGAUACC